UGUGUGUGUGUGUGUGUGUGUGUGUAACCUUGGGGUCAGAAGACUUGCAUUAGCUCCCAGGUAACCUAAUGUCUUGGCAAGCUAACAGUCUUAAGGUGCAAAGGUCACUUAAACAUGCUAAUGAUUUCUCAGUGUCUCAAGACAUGUUACAUGUCUUUUUGUGUUGUUAUGAUGUAGUAUUACUACAUAAUACCACUAUUUCAACCUGUAGUAAUAACACUGGACUGGUCAGAUUGUACAGUGUGCUGUCCUGUUCUCGAGUAAUGGUUAUCUUUACUAGUAACUAACUAGUUUACUCCUGGGCAAAUUAUCUCAGUAUUUCAAUGCAACUAGAGUCAGUGAGCUGUUACUGUAGGAUUAAUUUGCAGCAGGAUGAAGAAGUCUGAACUGAAUAUUGUAAUGUCACUUUAUCAUUGUCACCAUUCUGAAUUAAAAAAGCUGGUCUUUUAUUUCUCAGAUGUUUGAUAUGUAGAGUAAUAAUGAAUGCCAAAUCAUGUAAACGUGGAGACAUUGUUGAUGUUGUAAGAUUGCUGAGGGAGUUAUGAGAGGACUUCUGGGCUAAGGUUGGCUGCAAAUGAGACAGUCGAUUAUUCCAUGCUCACUUUUUUUGCCCUAGCGGAACAAAGCUAGUCCCCUAAAAAGCAUUGAUCUCGCCACACUGUCAACUGGCCUAUAUAAGCUGUGUCAGUUACUGUCUUACAAAACCCAAUCUCCAGUUGUGUCGCGACUGGAUACAGCAUUUGAUUUCUACAGUUGAUUGUCAAUUGUGUGUUGAUUUGAAUGAAUGAAUGACUGACUGACUGUACAUUACUGUAGUGCUACAGCUUUACCUGCUUUACCUGAAGCCUUUCAUAGUUGAUUAGCAACAACAACUAACUUCGAAAUUUGCAAUCAGGGUCUUUAAGUACCCCGAGAAGGGUGGCACUAAAAAAAAAAAGCACAGAAUGUAUUGUGUUGUAAACUUCUAGUUUUAUUUUUUGUUGCCAAAUCUUAUAAUUUUUUUCCCCAAGGUUUUACGUCCAGCCAUACUCUGCCUAUGCUGAUGUUUACUGAUGGUUGGGUUAAAAAAAAAAAAAAAAAAAACCCUAAUGGAUGUUAUUGUUUAUUUCGUUUGAAGACUGGUUUGAGCUCCUAACUGCAGGCGGAGUUAUGAAGACUGGACCAAUAGCUUCCUCUUGUUUGAAUUGCUGUGUCAGAUUUGGAGUCUGCUCACACUGGCCUCGGGACAACCUCUGCUGCUCACAAUCCCCACAGUAAACCAUCGCCUGAUCACUGAUCGGUUUAUAAUGCUUUAAUUGCUAAUGCUAAAAUAGUCAUGGCGAACCUGUGCCGUUUUGUUAGGCAUGGUAACAUGGGUGUCAGAGGAGUUGGUUAAAGCAUGUAACAUCUGGGACCAAGCUAACAACAGACUGUGACCCCAGAGAACAUUCUAGUAUUGUACAUGAAUAACACUGCAACAAACAACAACACAAUAGUGAUCUUUACAAUAGUAGUGCUGUGCAGUACAUUGUAAAAACCUGAAAAUAUCUUUGCUAUUUUCAGACCAUUUACAGGCCUUCCUUGGGGAGAGCAGAGGUUGUCAUGGUUACUCAGAGCUGCUGUCCCCCUCUCCACUCCUGUGGAUCUUAGUGUGUUAAUGAAGUAUUAGUUUGUACUCAUUACCUGACAGCUGUCAUGAUGUUCCCAGACAGUAUUUCUCUGCAAAGUAACAUACUGCCGUUACCUGCAAGUUGUGGGUAAUUAUUUGUCAUCUGUUUUCGCUAGUGUAGAAUGACUGAUAUUAGGAUUUUAUAUACAAAAAGACAUCGUAUACACACAUUCAUUGAGUUUUUAAAGAGAAC
ensembl:lncRNA